AUUGAACGCUGGCGGCAGGCCUAACACAUGCAAGUCGAGCGGAGCGGCGGACGGGUGAGUAAUGUCUGGGAAACUGCCUGAUGGAGGGGGAUAACUACUGGAAACGGUAGCUAAUACCGCAUACUAUCAGAUGAGCCUAGGUCGGAUUAGCUAGUUGGUGGGGUAAAGGCCUACCAAGGCGACGAUCCGUAACUGGGCUGAGAGGAUGAUCAGGCCAACUGGGAAUGAGACAAGGUCCAGAAUCCCACGGGAGGCAGGCGUGGGGAAUGUUGGACAAUUGGCGAAAGCCUGAUCCAGCCAUGGCGCGUGUGGGAAGAAGGUCUUCGGAUUGUAAAGCACUUUAAGUUGGGAGGCGUUACCAACAGAAUAAGCACCGGCUAACUUCGUGCCAGCAGCCGCGGUAAUAC
rnacentral:rRNA from 1 species